rnacentral:rRNA from 1 species
AUUGAACGCUGGCGGAAUGCUUUACACAUGCAAGUCGAACGGCAGCACGGACUUCGGUCUGGUGGCGAGUGGCGAACGGGUGAGUAAUGUAUCGGAACGUGCCCAGUCGUGGGGGAUAACGUAGUGAAAAUUACGCUAAUACCGCAUCAGAUCUAUGGAUGAAAGCGGGGGAUCGCAAGACCUCGCGCGAUUGGAGCGGCCGCUAUCAGAUUAGGUAGUUGGUGGGGUAAAGGCCCACCAAGCCAACGACCAGUAGCUGGUCUGAGAGGACGCCCAGCCACACUGGAACUGAGACACGGUCCAGACUCGUACGGGAGGCAGCAGUGGGGAAUUUUGGACAAUGGGCGAAAGCCUGAUCCAGCCAUUCCGCGUGCAGGAUGAAGGCCCUCGGGUUGUAAACUGCUUUUGUACAGAACGAAAAGGUUUCUACUAAUACUAGGAGCUCAUGACGGUACUGUAAGAAUAAGCACCGGCUAACUACGUGCCAGCCGCCGCCGUAA